rnacentral:siRNA from 1 species
GCAACCGCAGCCGCAAAUGCU